CCAAUCCCCGUCUCCAAAAUUUCGGCUUCCUGGAUUGCAAUGGUAACAGCAACAGCUUCCGGGCUGAGAACUGAGUUGAAAGAAGCGUUCGAAGAGAAGCAACUGUCCUCUUGACAGCAUUCCUGAGCGCGGUAGUUCUGAACUAGAAUCCAUUCUCGACAUCUAGAAACGGAAUGGCUCCGCAAUCUCUUUUUCAAGAAGUA
rnacentral:misc_RNA from 1 species